rnacentral:rRNA from 1 species
CCUACGGGAGGCAGCAGUGGGGGAUAUUGCACAAUGGGGGAAACCCUGAUGCAGCGACGCCGCGUGGGCGAAGAAGCGCCUCGGCGCGUAAAGCCCUGUCAGCAGGGAAGAAAAAGACGGUACCCGAAGUAGAAGCCCCGGCUAAAUACGUGCCAGCCGCCGCGGUAAUUAGUAGGGGGCCAGCGUUAUCCGGAUUUACUGGGUGUAAAGGGGGCGCAGACGGCGAGGCAAGCCAGGAGUGAAAGCCCGGGGCGCAACCCCGGGACUGCCUUUGGAACUGCGUGGCUAGAGUGCAGGAGGGGCAGGCGGAAUUCCUGGUGUAGCGGUGAAAUGCGUAGAUAUCAGGAGGAACACCGGUGGCGAAGGCGGCCUGCUGGACUGCAACUGACGUUGAGGCCCGAAAGCGUGGGGAGCAAACAGGAUUAGAUACCCGGGUAGUC